rnacentral:misc_RNA from 1 species
GAUGAAGAACGAAGCGAAAUGCGAUAAGUAAUGUGAAUUGCAGAAUUCAGUGAAUCAUCGAAUCUUUGAACGCACAUUGCGCCCGCCAGUAUUCUGGCGGGCAUGCCUGUUCGAGCGUCAUUUCAACCCUCAAGCCCCCGGGCUUGGUGUUGGGGAUCGGCGUGCCCUCGCGGCGCGCCGUCCCCUAAAUCUAGUGGCGGUCUCGCUGUAGCUUCCUCUGCGUAGUAGCAACACUCGCACUGGAUCGCAGCGCGGCCACGCCGUUAAACCCCCCACUUCUGAAAGUUUGACCUCGGAUCAGGUAGGAAUACCCGCUGAACUUAAGCAUAUCAAUAAGCGGAGGA